UACGAAGGGGGCUAGCGUUGUUCGGAAUUACUGGGCGUAAAGCGCACGUAGGCGGAUACUUAAGUCAGGGGUGAAAUCCCGGGGCUCAACCCCGGAACUGCCUUUGAUACUGGGUAUCUCGAGUCCGGAAGAGGUGAGUGGAAUUCCGAGUGUAGAGGUGAAAUUCGUAGAUAUUCGGAGGAACACCAGUGGCGAAGGCGGCUCACUGGUCCGGUACUGACGCUGAGGUGCGAAAGCGUGGGGAGCAAACAGGAUUAGAAUCACCCUAG
rnacentral:rRNA from 1 species